CAUAAUUAUGAAAUCAUUUAUGUCAGUUCUCAUUUGAUAUUAUUGUCAGUACAAAUCUAUUUUACUGCGGAGUAAAGAAUUUAACGAAUACAUCAAAACCUAUGCCGUUAUUAGAUCUAUUUACAUGUGUCCCCUUGCAUUGUAAAUUCAAGUUCACAUUUUUUCCUUUUUUAAUCAACUUAGAGCAUAUUUGAGAUCCAUUUUAAUCUGCGUCUUGUAUGAAUUCAACAUGGUUAAAUGUGUCUCUGUUUCAUCAGUAAGGAUUUGUAGGUGUUUUGUGGUCUUAAUCACGUUGUACUACUAGUUUUAAAAGUGGAAUUUAGAUUUGCAUAAUAGACAGCCAGGGCUGUAUACUUUGUUGAAUUCAGUCUUUCAUGUGCGUCAAUGGCUGAAGUGCUCAGAAAUCAAUGCUCUGUCACUUUAAAUGAAGUGAAAGGUGGGUGUUGCCAUUGGGCGCAAAGAGCGAGAGCAGGGCGGGGACAAUAUUAAAUAUGUAUGAGUCUAGUUAUCCCUUAGAGACUCAACGCAGAUGAAUGAUACAGAUUUGGAAGAAACACGCACGGCCACCUCGCGUUAAUCACGUCUAAUUCCUCCGACACUUCCAGAGAAGUGUAAAUGGGCAGACUAGAGACGCUCAGUGGAUGAAGGCGACUUGACAGUGCAGACGAGCGCACGUCGCUUAAGCCACACAUAACAGUCUACUGGUUGCGAUUUUUGAAUUGGAUUUCAACUAUUUUGCACCCUAUCUCACCUUUGAGAUAUUGUUAUUGCUUUCCAAGCAUUUUUUCUUAAUUCACAGCCGAUAUGGACACCAUAUUGGACAACCUCGCUUCGGACAAACUUUUUCCCAAUUCCAACCUGUUGGACCUAGAGGAUCUGACAUGAGAGUGAUUUCUUAUCCAAUGUGCUGCCAGCUGGAAUCUGGAUCUGAAUCUGAGAAUAUGAACUGGCUUUAAAGUGCAGAUCUGCUGGGUUGGAGACAAAAUGAAGGCAAAAAUACAUCCUCACCCCACAUUCACAUGAAUGUCCCCUACAUUUAGGUAAAAAAAAGUCUGAUCUAGUGCAUAUGAGUUCAUGCAUGCCUCUUUGAAGAGAU
rnacentral:lncRNA from 1 species